rnacentral:rRNA from 1 species
UACGUAGGGUGCGAGCGUUGUCCGGAAUUAUUGGGCGUAAAGAGCUCGUAGGCGGUGUGUCGCGUCGGCCGUGAAAACCUGCAGCUUAACUGUGGGCUUGCGGUCGAUACGGGCAUCACUGGAGUUCGGCAGGGGAGACUGGAAUUCCUGGUGUAGCGGUGAAAUGCGCAGAUAUCAGGAGGAACACCGAUGGCGAAGGCAGGUCUCUGGGCAUUAACUGACGCUGAGGAGCGAAAGCAUGGGGGAGCGAACAGG